CAGCUGCCCACUGUUAUUUAUUUAUUUUGUCACAAUUCUUCUUCAGGAUUGUGUUGUGGUUCUGGAAUUCUGCCGUAGGGGUCUAUUGUCCCCUGAAGUGUAUGCCAAACUUCCAUCCACACUACUGGGAAUAUUAAGGGAUGAAGAGACAGUUUUGUGAGGUAUGAAGAACGUAGUUUUGAAGUCUUUACUGUGCUGGGUGGUGAAGAAUUUCAACAGUGUGCUUGCACAGAUACUUCCUACUUUACCCUGUGAUAAAUCUUGUGCCCCAGUGCUGUUGCACAUUGCCUAUUGCCACAAAGACUGCAUGGAGCAGGG